rnacentral:rRNA from 1 species
UUAGUAGCGGCGAGUGAAGCGGCAAAAGCUCAAAUUUGAAAUCUGGCACUUUCAGUGUCCGAGUUGUAAUUUGAAGAAGGUAUCUUUGGGUCUGGCUCUUGUCUAUGUUUCUUGGAACAGAACGUCACAGAGGGUGAGAAUCCCGUGCGAUGAGAUGACCCAGACCUAUGUAAAGUUCCUUCGAAGAGUCGAGUUGUUUGGGAAUGCAGCUCUAAGUGGGUGGUAAAUUCCAUCUAAAGCUAAAUAUUGGCGAGAGACCGAUAGCGAACAAGUACAGUGAUGGAAAGAUGAAAAGAACUUUGAAAAGAGAGUGAAAAAGUACGUGAAAUUGUUGAAAGGGAAGGGCUUGAGAUCAGACUUGGUAUUUUGUAUGUUACUCUCUCGGGGGUGGCCUCUACAGUUUACCGGGCCAGCAUCAGUUUGGGCGGUAGGACAAUUGCAAAGAAAUGUGGCACUGCCUCGGUAGUGUGUUAUAGUCUUUGUCGAUACUGCCAGCCUAGACUGAGGACUGCGGCUUCGGCCUAGGAUGUUGGCAUAAUGAUCUUAAGUCGCCCGUCUUGAAACACGGACCAAGGAGUCUAACGUCUAUGCGAGUGUUUGGGUGUAAAACCCGUACGCGUAAUGAAAGUGAACGUAGGUAGGACCUCCUUUAGGAGUGCACUAUCGACCGAUCCUGAUGUCUUCGGAUGGAUUUGAGUAAGAGCAUAGCUGUUGGGACCCGAAAGAUGGUGAAC